AAUUCUGAAGAAUCUCAUGCAAAGAUUGCUAACAUUCAGCAAAUCAUCAUGGCGAUUAAUGCCCUGAGCAAGGGAUUCAGUGAGCGGCUUGUGAAUUCUUGAUCUCAUCUGAGUUCCCUUCCUGCUCAUUUUAAUCGGCUUUAAAUUAAUGAAAAAUGGUGAUUGUAUUAAAAAUGAGAUGGACAUAACUGCUGAUUGCUUAAAUUAUCUUAAAAGAAAUGAGAGUUAGAUGUUGUGGGUACACAUGAAUAUGGAUUUCCUGCAAAUUUUAUAAGUCAAGACAUAAAGCAUAAGCUUGUAUGGGAAGUUCUUGAUGAUGGUUUGAAGAAUAAGAUUGAAAUUCAGUGGUCAGAUAUAAUGUCAUUAAAGAGUAAUUACCCAGAUGAUGGACCUGAGACUUUG